GAUGAACGCUGGCGGCGUGCCUAACACAUGCAAGUCGAACGGAGUCGUUUUGGCAAUCUCUUCGGAGAUGGAAUUCUCGACUUAGUGGCGGACGGGUGAGUAACGCGUGAGCAAUCUGCCUUUAAGAGGGGGAUAACAGUCGGAAACGGCUGCUAAUACCGCAUAAAGCAUUAAAUUCGCAUGUUUUUGAUGCCAAAGGAGCAAUCCGCUUUUAGAUGAGCUCGCGUCUGAUUAGCUAGUUGGCGGGGUAACGGCCCACCAAGGCGACGAUCAGUAGCCGGACUGAGAGGUUGAACGGCCACAUUGGGACUGAGACACGGCCCAGACUCCUACGGGAGGCAGCAGUGGGGAAUAUUGCGCAAUGGGGGAAACCCUGACGCAGCAACGCCGCGUGAUUGAAGAAGGCCUUCGGGUUGUAAAGAUCUUUAAUCAGGGACGAAGCAAAUGACGGUACCUGAAGAAUAAGCUCCGGCUAACUACGUG
rnacentral:rRNA from 1 species